GGUUUGAUUAUGGCUCAGAUUGGACGCUGGCGGGAUGCUUUACGCUGGUCGAGCAGCUGCGGACUUCAGGUCGGUGGCGAGUGGCGAACAGGUGAGUAAUGUAUCGGAACGUGCCUAGUAGCAGGGGAUAACUACGCAUGUGUAUACAUGCCCUUCGGGGAAAACGGGGGGACCUUCGGGCCUCGCACUAUUAGAGCGGCCGAUAUCGGAUUAGCUAGUUGGUGGGGUAACGGCUCACCAAGGCGACGAUCCGUAGCUGGUUUGAGAGGACGACCAGCCACACUGGGACUGAGACACGGCCCAGACUCCUGCAGGAGGCAGUGGGGAAUUUUGGACAAUGGGAAACCUGAUCCGGCCAUCCGCGUGUGCGAUGAAGGCCUUCGGGUUGUAAAAGCACUUUUGGCAGGAAAAGCGGCACGGGAUAAUACCCCGUGCAACUAACAGUACCUGCAGAAUAAGCACCGGCUAACUACGUACCAGCAGCCGCGGUAAUACGUAGGGUCACAAGCGUUAAUCGGAAUUACUGGGCGUAAAGCGUGCGCAGGCGGUUCGGAAAGAAAGAUGUGAAAUCCCAGAGCUUAACUUUGGAACUGCAUUUUUAACUACCAGAGCUAGAGAGUGUGUCCAGAGGUGGAAUUCCGCGUGUAGCAGUGAAAUGCGUAGAUAUGCGGAGGAACACCGAUGGCGAAGGCAGCCUCCUGGGAUAACACUGACGCUCAUGCACGAAAGCGUGGGGAGCAAACAGGAUUAGAUACCCUGGUAGUCCACGCCCUAAACGAUGUCAACUAGCUGUUGGGGCCUUCGGGCUGGUAGCGCAACUAACGCGUGAAGUUGACCGCCUGGGGAAGUACGGUCGCAAGAUUAAAACUCAAAGGAAUUGACGGGGACCCACCAAGCGGUGGAUGAUGUGGAUUAAUUCGAUGCAACGCGAAAAACCUUACCUACCCUUGACAUGUCUGGAAUCCCGAAGAGAUUUAGGAGUGCUCGCAAGAGAACCGGAACACAGGUGCUGCAUGGCUGUCGUCAGCUCGUGUCGUGGAGAUGUUGGGUUAGAAGUCACAACGAGCGCAACCCUUGUCAUUAGUUGCUACGAAAGGGCACUCUAAUGAGACUGCCGGUGACAAACCGGAGGAAGGUGGGGAUGACGUCAAGUCCUCAUGGCCCUUAUGGGUAGGGCUUCACACGUCAUACAAUGGUCGGGACAGAGGGUCGCCAACCCGCGAGGAGCCAAUCCGAAGCCCGAUCGUAGUCCGGAUCGCAGUCUGCAACUCGACUGCGUGAAGUCGGAAUCGCUAUUAAUCGCGGAUCAGCAUGUCGCGGUGAAUACGUUCCCGGGUCUUGUACACCGCCCGUCACACCAUGGGAGUGGGUUUUACCAAGUAGUUAGCCUAACCGUAAGAGGAGGGCGAUUACCACGGUAAGUUCAUGACUGGGGUGAAGUCGUAACAAGAAUGGC
rnacentral:rRNA from 1 species